CCGCGGGACAGUAUACCGGCGAGCGACUGCGCACCAGUGAGAAAGCCCGUACGUAAAACUCGUCGUAGAUUUCAGCUCGUACACCACUUCGCGGACGCCAAGAACCGCUGCAACGCGACUCCAUCCACGAACAAGUGCAACGCCAGCAUCAACGAAGUUCUUUUUCCUGUUUUUCAGACGAUGAGUAAGGAAACGUUAGGGGUUACGAGUCUAUCCUCAACAUGCUCGCCUGUGGCACAUGAAGACGAAGGACUCCAUGCUAUCUAUGUUUAUUCGUUGUGAAACUCUGAUGAUAUGCUAGCCUUGUGCUAUGCAAUUUGUAAUUUUUUAUGUAAAUUCUGGAUCAUACGAUGUAAUAAAGACCUUUGUUUCUUGGUAUUACAUCUUGUACUGUGUGUGCUA